rnacentral:piRNA from 1 species
UGGAGCUUCAAGCACUACUGUUGAGAA